rnacentral:rRNA from 1 species
UACAGAGGGGGCAAGCGUUAUCCGGAGUUACUGGGCGUAAAGGGCGUGUAGGCGGUUUGUUAAGUUUGGCGUGAAAGCUCUCGGCUAAACCGGGAGAGGUCGUUGGAUACUGGCAAACUAGAGGACGGUAGAGGCGUGUGGAAUUCCGGGUGUAGUGGUGAAAUGCGUAGAGAUCCGGAGGAACACCAGUGGCGAAGGCGACACGCUGGGCCGUACCUGACGCUAAAGCGCGACAGCAUGGGGAGCAAACGGG